CGUAACGCGUAUGCAACCUACCUUGAACAGGGGGAUAGCCCGGAGAAAUCCGGAUUAAUACCGCAUAAGAUAACAGAUCAGCAUUGAUUAGUUCUUAAAGAUUUAUCGGUUCAAGAUGGGCAUGCGUGUCAUUAGCUAGUUGGUGAGGUAACGGCCCACCAAGGCGACGAUGACUAGGGGAUCUGAGAGGAUGACCCCCCACACUGGUACUGAGACACGGACCAG
rnacentral:rRNA from 1 species